rfam:Ailuropoda melanoleuca scaffold698_26, whole genome shotgun sequence.
GCCUGGGUGGCACAGUGGUUGAGCGUCUGCCUUUGGCUCAGGGCGUGAUCCCGGCAUUGUGGGAUCGAGCCCCACAUCAGGCU